GUCACCUGGAAGGCAGAUCUAACAGAGAACCUGGACUGUCUCCUAUCAUGAUUCCCGGGAAAUAUCGCUCUGUUUCUGGCCGGGCUGCGAACAACGUGAACUGCGGGCUUCAUCUGGUUAUUCAAACAUCAUCGCUUCCUGAAAAAAACAAAGUUGAAUUCAAGCUAAAUAAAGACACAUCGUCAUUCCCCGGUAGACUUUUACAACAUGACCUUGAAAGAAACUACUCAAGUAGGCAAGAACUAUAUGGGCUGGAAAUGAAAACUGCCACGAGGUCCUUAUCAGCAUUUGGAGAUUCUUCCAUUAAGACACCUUCAAAAUCCAGAAUCCAGCAGGGCUGUCAUAGUGCUGGCCCAAAUAUAUCUGGUGAUCAUAUUAAUUUGGUGAGCUCAUCAUUG
rnacentral:lncRNA from 1 species